rnacentral:rRNA from 1 species
GCUAACGGCUGAACUGGCAACUUGGAGAAGUGGCAAGUCUUCCAGUAUGGGGAGCAAACAGCUAUGGGUCAAGCCCGAUACCUUUAAGAGAAGUCUUAUUGUGAGGGCGAGUUGUAUAACACCAUAGGGCUGGCCGCCCCAUAUGAAAAGAUUUUAUUAGAAUUGAAUGAAACUUUGUUUAUAUAUUGAUAAUGACAGUAUAUAUAUCGUGUCUUGACUAAUUGCGUGCCAGCAGUCGCGGUAAUACGUAAGAGACUAGUGUUAUUCAUCUUAAUUAGGUUUAAAGGGUACCCAGACGGUCUAUAUAGCUUAUAAAAUGUUAGUAUAAGACUAGAGUUUUAUGUAAGAGGGCAGUACUUGAGGAGGAGAGAUGAAAUUUCGUGAUACCAAAGGGACUCUGUAAAGGCGAAGGCAGCCCUCUAUGUAAAAACUGACGUUGAAGGACGAAGGCACAGAGAACAAACAGGAUUAGAUACCCAAGUAGUCUUUGCAGUAAAUGAUGAAUGCCAUAGGUUAGAUAUAAAUAUAUAAUCCCUAUAUAAUCAAUAUAUUGGAUAUAUCUGGUCUAUAAAUGAAAGUGUAAGCAUUUCACCUCAAGAGUAAUGUGGCAACGCAGGAACUGAAAUCACUAGACCGUUUCUGACACCAGUAGUGAAG